rnacentral:tRNA from 1 species
GCCUGGGUGGCUCAGUCAGUUGAGCGUCUGACUUCGGCUCAGGUCAUGAUCUCACGGUCUGUGGGUUCGAGCCCCACGUCGGGCU